ACGAAUUGGUCCUUAUGUGUGCGCGGAAUGGAAUUACGGAGGUUUUCCAGUUUGGUUGCAUUUCGUACCUGGCAUUAAAUUCCGCACAGAUAAUGAACCAUUCAAGGCUGAAAUGAAGCGAUUUACAGCCAAGAUUGU